UACCCAUUAAACCCACAAAUAACUUAAUAUCCUAAAGUUAAGACCUCAUCUUCUUCUCUAACCUAGACACCCUAAGCUUCAUCAGCAACCUAACACACACAAAAGACAAGCCGCCACCCUAACUCCUCUCAAGGACCACGCCGGCAGACCACCCCUUUCGCUACCACUGAUCCGCCUAGAACCAGCUGACUCAGCCCCGCCUCCCUUCACCUCACAGCUGCCGGCGUCCAACCGAAAAAUUCAAGAGCCAGCGACCACAGCAGCCCAUAUUCUCCAUCUCCACCGCCGAUUUCUUUAGCUUAUUACCCAGCUUCUGCACCUCACAUGCUCUUAGCCUUAAGUGUUGGCUUUUCUACGAAACAAUCGUAACCUCACAUCAAGUCCGGUGGUAAAGACUACUAACUCUAACAAGAGAAGCAUCCACCCCUACCAAAUCUCUGAGGAACCAGCAGCACGCCGUCGUUUUCCUCCAGCUUCAAGCUCAUUGGAUUGAGAAUGAGGAAUCGAGGUACAACAGACCCGAGCUUUCCGGUUCCGAUUUGAGUUUCCAUCUGCGGUUCUGACGCUUUUGUUUCAGAGCUGCCGCACAAUUAACUUCAGAUUCGUUUGAGAGUGAAGAAGCCAAGUUCUCCUUUCCUGUCAAUCGAUCAAUGGCGUCAAGCAACAGUCAUCACCAUGAGCAAAUAAACAGGUGGUUCAUCAUUCUGAAGAGGGAGUAUUCAUAUCCUUACUUCCUUUGUUCAGACAUUAGUUAUCAUUUAAGAUAAUGAUUUACAGGUUGAAGAUUCAGAGCACUAGAAUUCUCGUACCAGCUUUUUAAUCUGCUCCUGCUGCCAUAGUCAUCGAGUUCUCCACAGGUCUAACUUAGUUGAUCCCAAUUACAAUUCUAAUCAAGAUAAAUUAGUAUGCAUACACUGCCAGCCCUAUAAUAGAACGCAGACAAGAAAAAGAAAGAUUAGAAAAGCUUCAAACUCCAACCAAGCAAAUUUCAGAUCGAAAAAGUUUUAUUUACUGUCCAACAGCUUCUCUGACCAGAACUCCCCACCGGAAAAAAUGGAGUCUUGCAAUUCCAAACCAAUAUGAAAUGCACCACCUUACCCCAAUUUUACUUCAGAUUUCUGGUAUUUUGUUCUUCAAAUACAAGAACAAAUGAAUCAAAUUUUUUGUUCAAACUAAAUGUAUUUUUUCAGCAACAGAUUUGAUUACACUUGUAACAACCCAGCCGGUCGUUUUGAGUAUUUUAACCCCGAUCCCCUAUUUAUUGCCUCCUCUGUGCUAUAUUGUGGUUAUGCGACUUAUCGGGGUGUUUGGUUUUAGUUUCGGGUGAGUUCAGGAGUGAAAU